rfam:Myotis lucifugus cont2.36627, whole genome shotgun sequence.
AUCGCUUCUCUGCUUUUGGGCUAAGAUUAAAGUGUAGUACCUGUUCUUACCAGUUUAAUAUCUGAUACAUCCUCUCUGUACCUCUGGAAACGGUACACACACACACAAAAAGCAGAGCCAAUAGUCCGGAUCUCCAGAAUGACCUAACAGCUUAUAAUUCUGGUUGCCCUCAUUUUAUUAUAUUUAUUUCUCCUGCCCAUCUUUU